UACGUAGGGUGCGAGCGUUAAUCGGAAUUACUGGGCGUAAAGCGUGCGCAGGCGGUUCGUUAAGUCAGAUGUGAAAGCCCCGGGCUCAACCUGGGAACUGCAUUUGAAACUGGCGGGCUUGAGUGUGGCAGAGGGGGGUGGAAUUCCACGUGUAGCGGUGAAAUGCGCAGAUAUCAGGAGGAACACCAAUGGCGAAGGCAGCUCGCUGGGACGGUACUGACGCUGAGACGCGAAAGCGUGGGGAGCAAACAGG
rnacentral:rRNA from 1 species